rnacentral:rRNA from 1 species
CGAACGGGGAGAUUCAUCGUCAGCGACGCUGGCUUCGCGUCGGUGGGCGAUGUCCCGCGGGGCCUCGCGGCUCGCGCGCGGGCACGCUGCCGUGCGUCGAUGUCCGGCGUUCGUCGUCGUGCACUUCUCCCCUAGUAGAACGUCGCGACCCGCUGGGUGUCGGUCUACGGCCCGGGUGCGGUGACUGACGCGUCGCCGGUAAAACGGCACGCGUCAAACCCCCGGUCGCCCGGCCGGCUGCCCGGCGGUACACGCAAGGUAUCAGGCCGCACAUCGUGCAUGUGCGUCGAGGCCGUCGCAAGCGCGCGCCACGGUACACGGAGGCUAACGGACCUAGCGCCGUCACCGGUCCUGGCCCGCUGUUGGUCGUACGGUUAACCUUCGACAGGCCUGCUCACGUUCCCCGGGUCUCUCUUGUGGGAGGACCGGGGGACCGAUACCGGUCGGCGACGCUACUGCUUUGGGUACUCUUAGGACCCGUCUUGAAAC